rnacentral:misc_RNA from 1 species
GAUGAAGAACGCAGCGAAAUGCGAUAAGUAAUGUGAAUUGCAGAAUUCAGUGAAUCAUCGAAUCUUUGAACGCACAUUGCGCCCGCCAGUAUUCUGGCGGGCAUGCCUGUUCGAGCGUCAUUUCAACCAUCAAGCCCCCGGCUUGUGUUGGGGACCUGCGGCUGCCGCAGGCCCUGAAAACCAGUGGCGGGCUCGCUGUCACACCGGGCGUAGUAGAUUUUAUCUCGCUCAGGGCGUGCUGCGGGUUCCGGCCGUUAAAAAGCCUUUUUUACCCAAGGUUGACCUCGGAUCAGGUAGGAAGACCCGCUGAACUUAAGCAUAUCAAUAAGCGGAGA